GGAGCUGAGCUGGGGAAGGGAGACCAGGGUUCACCACGUUAGCAUUCGCAUUCCUGGGAGGAUGCAGCCCUCGCCUGGACCUGGGCGAUAGACGCCUUCUUCUGUUUUUAUUUUUGGAGGGGAGCGCCCUGUAAUUGUCCUGAACACAUGCUUCCCCCCCUUCCUCCAGCCACCCGCGGAGGAGAGAGUCCCCCUUUUUUGCAUUUAUCUUUUCCUUCCCCUUUCUUUAUUAAAGGUCCGGGAGUGGCGGCGGCCAAUCAGCGCGCGGCUUCCAUUUUGUGAGUUCAACUCCGAGGCUCCCGGGCUUCGCGAGGACGCGUUUGCAGCCCCCUCUGCCGCUCCUCUCUGGCGGCCGAGGCGCAGGAGCCGCCUCGCCGGGGCUCGGAGCUGGUGUAGCUCAUAUUGGGGCUCUUUUCGGGGUUUGUAAUUUGGCCGUGGGUAGGUAAUUGGCUGGAGCAGGGCGGCAGGGCGCGGCAGCCAAUCAGCGCGCGGCUUCUAUAGGGCUUGAGUUAUUAGACGCUGAUCUCAAAACAUCCUUCAUCAGACACGAAGGAGAGGCCAACAGAUGAGGGAAGCCAUUUUUCUGCAAUGGAAUUAAAUGGCCAAGCCCAAGGACUCACAGUUGGAAGACUGGAGAAGACUUUUUAAAAAGAUCUGGAUUUUUCCUUAUGACUUGGAAUCCAUCUUUGUCUUGUAUAACUAGGUCAUAGCACACCAUUCAUGUCAGCAGUUAACAGUUUUGAAUUCCAAAAAAACCUAAAGCAGUAAACAGUCCUCAGCGAAGCCGCCUUUUUGCCUACCCAACCCUGGAAAGUUUGCAGAAGUGGAAGGAGCAGAACGUGAGGGUGUAACUUACAAAAAGCUUGAUCUUCUAGACUCCAUGGCACCGGGCUGAGCGGGUUCUGGGCCGGAGAAGGGGCGACGUUCGGGCACCCCCCGAAUGGACAAUCUUUCCUUCUGUCAACGGCAGGGGCAGGCCUAGUUUGACUCUGACAGUCCUCCCACUAAGGAAUUCCUGGUGACUGGAAGGGGGAGUGACUCAGGCCCUCAACCUCUAGCAGAGUGCCUUGGCUCCCUCCUGUCGUCCUGGGGAACCUCGGCCCCAGCCCUGCCUCCCCAGCCAGUCACAGCUCCUCCCUGGUCACCCUGAGGGAGCUCAGGGCCCGGCUGGUAGCUGGGUUGCUCUGCUUCUGUCCCCCACUCCUGUGGAGCCUGGCAGGCAACUCCAUGAUCUGACCCCGGUUACCUUGACAGCCCUGCCUGGCCUCCCCUCUCAUGGCCCAGCCACCCCAGAACCUGAAGAGGUUUUCUAGCUGCCGUGCAUUUGCCAGGCUGGGUUACCCACCCUACUUUCCCUGCCUGCCCUCCAGUGCUGCCAGGCCUAGUGUGCCAGCCAGCGCUCAGCCUUCAGUAAAGGGUUCCCCUGCUUCCAACCUCCAUUGCACUGCUUCCCCUAAGACUGUGACCUCCUGGAAGGCUGGAGCACAACUGCCUCUCAAUAAACGUGUUGCAAAAAAGGAA
ensembl:lncRNA LINC01089 long intergenic non-protein coding RNA 1089